GACAAAGGAUGCAAGCGUUAUCCGGAAUGAUUGGGCGUAAAGAGCUCGUAGGCGGCCGGUUGCGUCUGCUGUGAAAUCCCGGGGCUUAACCCCGGGCGUGCAGUGGAUACGGGCUGGCUGGAGGCAGGCAGGGGAGAAUGGAAUUCCCGGUGUAGCGGUGAAAUGCGCAGAUAUCGGGAGGAACACCGGUGGCGAAGGCAGGUCUCUGGGCAUUAACUGACGCUGAGGAGCGAAAGCAUGGGGAGCGAACAGG
rnacentral:rRNA from 1 species